GCCUGCACUUCUAUAAACAAGUCCUGCACGUUAAUUAUUUUGUUACGGAUCAAGGACUGGAGAAAGACACACACAAGACGCACCAAACGAUUCUGAAAAAGAGAAAGCAAAUUUAGUGUACCCGUUUUCUUGGCAGAGCCCAAAUCUACUUUUCAGGAGAGAUGAAGGCAUUACCAUGAUCUGAUGAUUUUUAAUUCAAGCAUGAUCACCACUGAGAAGCAAAAGGAUACAACUUCACAUACUGGUGAGAGUUCUGAUGGGAAAAAUGAAAUGCUACUUGAUCUCACUCUUCCUAUUCUUAGUGACCGGUAUUUUUUUUUUUUAAGUAGGCUUCACACCCAGUGCAGAGCCCAUCGUGGGGCUUGAACUCACAACCCUGAGAUCGAGUCCUGAGCUGAGAUCAACAGUCAGACACUUACCUGACUGAGCCACCCAGGUGCCCCAUUAAUUACUAUUAUUUUAUUCAGUAGUAGUGAAUAAUUACUAUUAUUUUAUUCAGCACUA